UCUUUGUGAGAAGGAGGCAAAGGCCUUGC
rnacentral:piRNA from 1 species